rnacentral:lncRNA from 1 species
AAUAAUCUAAUACACAUUAAAAUUCUUAAAAGAAGAUUAAUUAGAACUAUGACUAAACUAAAUACUUGUAUGAAUAUAGUUACAUUUUUCAGUACUACUAUAUGAUUUUGUUUUAAGUGAAGAACAUUGGACCCCAAAAUUAAUUUCAUUCCAAAUCUGCAGGAAUCUGUGACACAGAUAAAGAAGAUAAAAUAAUUGUUGUUUAGCUUAAAAAGAAGAAUAAAU